AACGAACGCUGGCGGCGUGGAUAAGACAUGCAAGUCGAACGCUUGUUAUGGGGUAGCAAUAUUCUAUGGCAGGAGUGGCGGAAGGGUGCGUAACAUGUGGGUAAUCUGCCGUGAAGACUGGGAUAACUUGCUGAAAGGCGAGCUAAUACCGGAUGAGAUAACCAGGAGGCAGCUUUUGGUUAUCAAAGUUGGGGACUGUAAAAGGCCUAACGCUUCAUGANGAGCCCGCAACCUAUCAGCUAGUUGGUGAGGUAAAGGCUCACCAAGGCUAAGACGGGUAGCUGGUCUGAGAGGACGACCAGCCACACUGGAACUGAGACACGGCCCAGACUCCUACGGGAGGCAGCAGUGGGAAUCUUGCGCAAUGGGCGAAAGCCUGACGCAGCGACGCCGCGUGAGGGAUG
rnacentral:rRNA from 1 species